UACGUAGGGCGCAAGCGUUGUCCGGAAUUAUUGGGCGUAAAGAGCUCGUAGGCGGCUUGUCACGUCGGUUGUGAAAGCCCGGGGCUUAACCCCGGGUCUGCAGUCGAUACGGGCAGGCUAGAGUUCGGUAGGGGAGAUCGGAAUUCCUGGUGUAGCGGUGAAAUGCGCAGAUAUCAGGAGGAACACCGGUGGCGAAGGCGGAUCUCUGGGCCGAUACUGACGCUGAUGCGCGAAAGCUAGGGGAGCGAACGGG
rnacentral:rRNA from 1 species